rnacentral:rRNA from 1 species
GAUGGCAUGGCAAGCAGGCACAGGCGCACCCAGAAACCCUUUGUGAACUUAUACCUUACUGUUGCCUCGGCGCUAGCUGGUCCUCCGGGGCCCCUCCUUCUGGAGGAGCAGGCACGCCGGCGGCCAACCUAACUCUUGUUUUUACACUGAAACUCUGAGAAUAAAACAUAAAUGAAUCAAAACUUUCAACAACGGAUCUCUUGGUUCUGGCAUCGAUGAAGAACGCAGCGAAAUGCGAUAAGUAAUGUGAAUUGCAGAAUUCAGUGAAUCAUCGAAUCUUUGAACGCACAUUGCGCCCUCUGGUACUCCGGAGGGCAUGCCUGUUCGAGCGUCAUUUCAACCCUCAAGCCUGGCUUGGUGAUGGGGCACUGCCUGUAAAAGGGCAGGCCCUGAAAUUCAGUGGCGAGCUCGCCAGGACCCCGAGCGCAGUAGUUAAACCCUCGCUCUGGAAGGCCCUGGCGGUGCCCUGCCGUUAAACCCCCAACUUCUGAAAAUUUGACCUCGGAUCAGGUAGGAAUACCCGCUGAACUUAAGCAUAUCAAUAGGCCCGGAGGAA